rnacentral:lncRNA from 1 species
GUGAGCUUUAAUUCAAGAAGGAAAAUGGGAAUCCACCAGAAUUGUAAAGGACACCCAGAUCCUUGGGAAUACUGGUAAACAGCCCUUGUGAUGGCAUCUGGCUGAUAAAAGUGACUGAAACGCCAGCAUGUGAGAGAGGCAGUGAGCCUCCCUCUGUGACUCACCUUUCCACUGGGGACCCAAGCAACCCAGGUAGAGGGAGGGCAUCUUGUUUCUCCAAAGCCCUGGAGCUAAUAUGGUGAGUGCCUUGGAGAUGCUGUGAGGGAAAGACGUAGGGAAAAGUUGCAGACACUAACCCCAGACCUGGGACUGACCGCAGGAUGUCAUUUUGAAUUUAGGCAUAUACAAAGUCAGCCAUUCUUUGGUGACCUAGCAGCAUAGCUGCUUGGCAUUUUAGUCUUGGGCCAGAGACUAGAGUGCCUUCUCUGGCAGGAUAAGGGCCUUCAUAGCCAGAACUGUGAAAAGCACCUCAGUAGUAGGCUGUGGGAUGGUGCUCUCCUCCAUCGCAGGCCAGGGAUAGAAGGAGAGCUGCUAUGGCUGAAGUUUCUCCUCGGUGAUGAGAUUUGCAGGCAGGGCCAGAUUGGCAACCUGGAACCUGUCUGCAUGUGCCAUUGCUGGUUGUCCCAGUCUGCUCCCUUGAGAUCGAGGUGCAGUGGGGCUCUCUCUGCUCCACCCCCAGGCAGAAAUGUAGGCAUUUGGAAUGCUCAGUUGCCUGGAACAGCAUGAGCCACCCCACCCUUCAUGGACAUAGACCCUAGUACAGUGAGGCACUCUCUGCUCCACACCCAGGCAGAUCUCCAGGCAUUCAGAGCACCUACUCAUCUGGAUCAGCAGCUUGGCCCACUCCACACUUCCUGUGCAAAGGUCCUAGUGCAGGGAGGCCCUCUCUGCUCCAUGCCCAUGUAGAUCUCCAGGCAUUUGGAGCGCCUGCUCUCUUCAAUCAGCAGCCUGAACUGCCUCACCUUUCCUGUGCAGAGAUCCUGGUGUAGGGCAGGGGGACCUUUCUGCUACAUGCCCAGGCAGAUCUCCAAGCAUUCAGAGCACCUGCUUGCCUGGUUCAGGCUUGGGUCAUCCCACACCUCCUGUGAAGAGAUGUUGGUGCAGAGGGUCCCUCUCUGUUGCAUGCCCAGGCAGAUCUCUAAGCACUUGCAGUACCCACUGCCCUAGAUUUUAGGAGUUUAGGCUGCUCCCAUCCCCAUGUAGAGAUCUUGAGGCCAGUGGAGUUUCCCAGUUCCACGCCUAGGCACAGUACUGGGAGCUUGGUGGCUGGCACUGGAUUCUCCCUUGGUGCUGGUGCUUGUGUCUGCCCUUUCUGGAUCAAGUAGGCUUCAUUCCUGGGAUGUAAGAUUCGUUCAACACAGACAAAUCAACAAAUGUGAUUCACUACAUAAAAAAAAUUAAAAAUAA